GACGAACGCUGGCGGCGUGCCUAAUACAUGCAAGUAGAACGCACAGUUUAUACCGUAGCUCGCUACACCAUAGACUGUGAGUUGCGAACGGGUGAGUAACGCGUAGGUAACCUGCCUGGUAGCGGGGGAUAACUAUUGGAAACGAUAGCUAAUACCGCAUAAUAUUAAUUAUUGCAUGAUAAUUAAUUGAAAGGUGCAAUUGCACCACUACCAGAUGGACCUGCGUUGUAUUAGCUAGUAGGUGAGGUAACGGCUCACCUAGGCGACGAUACAUAGCCGACCUGAGAGGGUGAUCGGCCACACUGGGACUGAGACACGGCCCAGACUCCUACGGGAGGCAGCAGUAGGGAAUCUUCGGCGAUGGACGAAAGUCUGACCGAGCAACGCCGCGUGAGUGAAGAAGGUUUUCGGAUCGUAAAGCUCUGUUGUAAGAGAAGAACGGGUGUGAGAGUGGAAAGUUCACACUGUGACGGUAUCUUACCAGAAAGGGACGGCUAACUACGUG
rnacentral:rRNA from 1 species